rnacentral:misc_RNA from 1 species
GUCAUUUCAACCCUUAAGCCUAGCUUAGUGUUGGCUAUCUACUGUAUUGUAGUGGCCUAAAUACAACGGCGGAUCUGUGGUAUCCUCUGAGCGUAGUAAUUUUUUUCUCGCUUUUGUUAGGUGCUGCAGCCCUCGGCCGCUAAACCCCCCAAUUUUUAAUGGUUGACCUCGGAUCAGGUAGGGAUACCCGCUGAACUUAA